CGUCGGGGGCCCUAAUCGAUUCCACUUUUCGAAUUUAAGCGCCCGCGCUUCCCGAGUACGCGCCUGUUUCGCGCGCGCGGGUAGGGAUUCGACCAAUCAGAAGCGUCCGAGACGGCGGACCAGUCGCGGUGGGCCGCUCGGCGCUCCUCAUCGCUCGUAGUCGCGGCAACUCAAAUGUAGUUCGACACUUGCACGUGGGACUUAGUCGGUGUCGGUUGGGUGCGCGCGCCUUGCGAUCCGCCAAAAGGGCACCGUUCACGUACGCGCCCGGUGAGCACCUCCGUUUCGUCGUAACACGAGAGAGAGAGCCGCCACCCUCGACGACGGCGGCAAGAGGUGUACGCGCGGUAUUCGCGUGUCUACGAAAUCGGACAGAGUUGAGCAUUCGCGCGUAUCUCGGCCGAGAGUAGCAGUGAAUCGCGCGACCGAGACUCGCAGGCUCUCUCUCGCUCUCUCGCGUAGCUCCCUCUCUCUCUUUCUCGCGCGUCGCGUCUCCCGUCGUCGUUCCUCGUCGUUGCCGAAGGAUUCCCCUUGGCUUUGGUGUGUAAUACUGGAUUGUGUACAUCGUCAUUGGGAUUAUCAGGGUCAACGGCUCAGCGCGGCGGCGGACGACGAGCGCGCACGCAUCCACAGCGCGGCAAAAGCAAACGGAACGGGUGCGCUGCGCGACUAAAUGCUGCACGGCCUGCGGCGAAAUUAACGUUGACCGAGGUACCAAAGAAAGUGUCAAGAUUGAGCAAGUCGUUAUUCCACCUGGCGGUGACUUCGCCAAAAUCUUGAGGAUGUUGAUGCCGAGCACAGCGGGUCUUAGUGCCGUCGGCGCCGUCGGCGCCGUAGGGGCCCCAGGACCCGACGACCUCGUGCAAGGACUCGGAGCCUUAGCCGCCACCACACCGCAACAAAAAGACACGACAUUCACGAAACUAUUCGUCGGCGGCCUACCUUAUCAUACAACUGAUAAAAGUCUCAGGGAGCACUUUAACGUUUACGGAGACAUCGAGGAGGCGGUCGUAAUUACGGACAGGCAGACCGGCAAAAGCAGGGGUUAUGGCUUCGUAAUUAUGGGAGACAAACCCGCAGCGGAGAGAGCAUGCAAAGACCCCAACCCCAUCAUCGACGGCCGAAAAGCAAACGUUAACUUGGCCAUUCUCGGAGCUAAGCCCAGGGGUAAUUUGCAAACGACAUUCCCGUUCGCUGCAGGCAUCCGGGCUGGAUAUCCAGCGGUUCUUCCUGGGCAAUACGGAGUACCACCGGGCUACGUGUACCAGUCGCCCUACCUGGCGGCCGCGGCGCCAGGUGGCCUGGUGCCGCUUCCGGCGACGCAAUUGAGCCAUGCAGCCGCCGUAGCCGCGGCGUCGCAAUUCUACGAGUACCAGAACGCGGCAGCAGCGGCCGCCAGCUACCCCGGCACCUCGUACAACUUCGCCGAGGCGUACCCCUACACCAGCGCGGCCGCCGCUGGUACGUGUUUGAAUAGUGUCCCGGGCAAGGGUAGUGGCAACAGCUCGAUGCACCACCACCAACACCAGCAGCAGCAGCAACAGCAGCAGCAGCAAAACGCUCCCGCGGCGCUGGCACAGCAACAGCUGGAGAAAGUCGGUCUUCUGCCGCAAUUUCUGCCGUCCGUGCUGCGUGGCUACGCUAACGCGGCGGCGGCGAGCUACGUAGCGCCCUACACCUACGCGACACUGCCAGGUGCUGCGGGCCUGCCGGCGGCGGCGGCGGCGGCGGCAACAGCAGCUGGCGCGGCUUUCCCGGGCCUGCCGUAUCAGACGACACCUCAGGAAGCCCGAUUACAAUAGGACUACGGGAGAAGCCGAGAAGCCGUUCGAUCGGAGUUAUUCUCGCCGUGGAGCAUACAAACUUAAUGUGAUGCGAUAGUAUCAUAGUGCCAGUCACCAUCCACGCAACAACACGUAUGUGUCUAAAAGACGUCCUUUAAACGUCUUAUUGUCUUCAGGAAGUCCUCGCGACGUCUUAAUGUUCUCUGGGCGGUAACCGUUAACGGCAUUCAACGUGUUAACAGUAUUAACAGGACGCACGCGCGAUUUUGGAAGAAGAGGACGAGAAGAAAGAGGAAACUCGAGACACGCGAUAAUCGUCCGAAACACUUGUAGUCGAACCGCAGUGGCCUUAAAAUCGCACACCAGCGAGACAACGAAGUGUCUUACUUUCGAGGCCUUGUUAUGUUAAUUGAUCAAUUGAUUUGAACGAAGCGACACUAGCCGACGUUUUACGACGAUGUUAAUCCAUCGAGGAUCGGAGGAAUGAAAACGAACCGGACGCUUUUUACUUUCUCAACGAAGAGUGAAUGUUUCAAGCGCGAUUGUCGUUUAAGAACCGAUAUCGACCGUCUGAGAGAAUCCCCGGAGGCUCGAUCUAAUUGAACUACUUUGUUAAGUACGAAGGGACGUACGUUUGUCUACUCUACUAGUGAUCCAGUGCCUUAAUUAGCACAGUCGAGUAGUCUUAACGAUUAGAAACUAGUCAGCGAUCCGUUAGUGCAACCGCUCGACGCGCUAACCCGUGUACAGGAGUGAGGCUCAACGAAAGGGCGAGGAGCUAAAGGAAUAUCAAAAAUUUAAUCGACCGGAUGUCGGGUCAUGAGAUACGCGGCUGUCCCCUCAUCUAGUCCCAAGCCCUUUCGACGAUUAAGCGAGUUUAAGCUCGACUUGUUAGAUUUGUAAGUAGAAAUUAAUGACAGACAUGAAACCAAAACACUUUGUAAAAAGUUAGCAAGGAAGGGAGGUUAGGAGGCCUUAGGAUUAAGUAUUAUUACGAGACCGUUCGACCCGCGGUAUAAUAGAGAAAAUAAAUUAUUAUUACCGUAUUAUUUUAUUAUUACAUACCGCUCGAUUAUUGUAACAUUAUUAUUUUAUU